rnacentral:tRNA from 1 species
UAACUCAGAAGGUAAAGGAUCUGCCUCCAAUGCAGGAGACCCAGGUUCAAUCCCUGG